UGAGGAACAUGACCUUCGGCGGGGGAUAGCCGGCCCAACGGCCGGGUAAUACCGCGUACGACCACAUGGGGACAUCCCUGAGUGGUGAAAGCAGCAAUGCGCCGAUGGAGUGCCUCGCGGCCUAUCAGCUAGUUGGUGAGGUAACGGCUCACCAAGGCAACGUCGGGUAGCUGGUCUGAGAGGAUGGCCAGCCAACAUUGGGACUGAGACACCGGCCCAGACCUCGUACGGGGAGG
rnacentral:rRNA from 1 species